rnacentral:rRNA from 1 species
CCUGGCGGAACUAGCGCGGUGGUCCCACCUGACCCCAUGCCGAACUCAGAAGUGAAACGCCGUAGCGCAGAUGGUAGUGUGGGGUCUCCCCAUGUGAGAGUAGGGAACUGCCAGGC